CGCUCCGACCCUUGGCCCCUGAGCCAGCAGCGGCCGCAGAGCGCUGAGAGGGGACCGGCGGGACUGGCCGCCCGCCCUGCUCGGGCCCCCUCCUCUCGCUUGCCUUUCUCCUUGCUCGCUGCCUCCGGGCUGCUCCAGCGGGGGCCGGACAGGGCAGCGGCCGCUCUCCGCGACGCCCUCGCGCUCCGCAUGCACACCUCCGCGGGCCCCCACACCUGCGGCGCCGCCACAAAGUUCCCGCGAGCGGCGUGCGCUCGGAACUGGGGUGCGCCCCGGGCAGACUCGGAGCAGCUCCCCAGCCCGGCUCCGCUCCACGUACCCCCGCCCCGCCCGGGGCCCGCGGAGCCGAGCGGAGGGGGUGAAGGGACGGGGGAGGAGCUCCCCUGGGCCGCCGCACCCCCGCGGCCUCGUCCUCCUUCUCGGCCGCGCCGCCUCCUCGCUCGCCGCGGCUCCCCGGCCCGCUCGCCCAGUUGCAGCCUGGCCGCCCCACCCCCGGAACCUCGCCUCCUUCCGCGCCCCCAACCGCUCUCCCCCCAAACUUUCCGCCAAGAUGGCGGCCUCCGAGCUGGCCUGCCGCGCUCCCACGUGACCGCUUUCCCAGUGCUCUCAGCCAAUGGUGGCCCGGGGUGGCCCUGGAGGAGCCCGCCUUUACCUUGCCCUAGCCCACCGGCGUGUCCCGCAGUUCCGAGCUAAACGCGGCAGGCCGGGAAGGCUCGGGCUGUCUGAAGAGAGGCGUGACCUCGCCUACACCAGAUCCAAGGCGCACAUUCCGAGACACCUCUCAACCUCACUCAACACGUGCCGUUUCCAACUCCGAGGCAGAGGCAGCGCCUGGCGACCCCGGGGCCUGCGUCCCAGCCCGGUCAGCAUCGCAGAUGUUACCCAAACUCUGACGGUCCCUUUAAGAACUCACCUGGAGUCGCGCCCUCCGAAGCUGAGCCGCCGUCGGCCAGCGCUGCAGGAAAGUUUGUCUGAGAAGGAAAUCGCAAAGCUGAAGCCUUGGGACUUGAAAAUUCAAAUCUUCAGUCUUUGUUUAUGGUCUGUAGCAGGCAAACAACUUCAAAUUUCUCAAGGUUCCUUGGUUAAACAUGAACGAGUGGAUGAAGAGAACACCUCAGCAAUAAAUAUAAUGCCUGGAAAAGAAUUUUACUAAGAAUAAUGUUUAUAUGCCACUUUUUUAUUUUUUAAAAAAUUUCUCAGUACCUCUGAAGAUUUGUGACACUAUUGUUAGAACCAUUAUUUUUUAAAUGAUACAUAUAACUACUUGCCUAGUAUGGUUUCUCUUUCUUUCUCUUUCAAUUAUCUUCAGUUUUCUAAUCUAGACCACAAAGUUCUCCAUUAAUAAAGUUGGCAAACAAAGUGUCUGA
rnacentral:lncRNA from 1 species